CCCGGGCCCGCGCGGCGUGCGCGUGAUCGCUCCCGGCCGCCGGGGGUCGAGUGUACUCUGCGCGCCCCGCCCGCCGUCGUCUGCCCCCCGCGAGGCUGGGGAGCGCGGCCGAAAGCCAUGCCCCUCUUCGUGCCCACUGUAGCAGCUGAGCGGGAGGGGUCCUGCUGGGGGCCGGGGCCGGGCGGGAAAGAAGAGGGCUCCUCCCCCGCGGCUUGGGAGGGCUGCUGAACGCCGGAGCCUUACAACUGUUAAACUCAGGCAGAGCUCGGGAAAUGCUGCCCGGAUGGGUGACUGAUGGAGAGGGGCUACCACUCUUCCAGCUAAACUCCGCUCUGGUUGGGACCCAGCAAUUAUUUUCCAUAGCGAAGUGUUAAUAAAAUAUCUGUUACUCCCAACACAACCUCCUGGGGGAAGGGACCUGUCUGUCUGCUUCAACUUUGGAUCCUCAGUGCCCACAUCAGGAUACCUGGCCUGAGAGCAUCCGGUGACCCAGUUUUAGGUCUCAAGGUCACUGCCAAGAAAGAGAAGCUGCUAAAGUGACACCUCUGUGCACCCACAUGACUUAACACAAAAGUUAACAGGAGCUCUUCAAAAACAAGCCUCUCGAGUGUCUGUCUCCUGUUUUCCCUGAGGACAGCAUCAGUGGCAUCAGAUAGGGGUUGGGGCUGGGUGACCUGCUGGUCCUCAGCCAUCACUGUGGCCCAGAGGUCAUUUAAGCAGCUCUCUGCUUAGCAGACAGGCAGAGGGAAUAGAUGGAAGGUACAGGUAAACACUGCAUGUGGCCACCGCGAGGAUACCCCGGAGCCUGGGAAACAGACAGGGACGUCGUAAAACCAACACAUAAUGGACCAGUGCAGAGACAGGCAAAACCAGUCAGAAGAAAUAGGAUGGUGCCUAGCCCAGGGACACCUGACUUAAGAGAGGGUCCUGCCGGUAUUACCCUGGAGGAAGGAAUGCUGCACAGAGGCCGAGAGGAAUUUGAACAGACUGGCCUUGCUGGGUUUUUAUCUCUUUUUGUCCAAUCCCAUUUUGACACAGUUGUCCAUGCUCCAAUCAUGCUUAUCCAAUGAAGUUUCCAUAACAGGCCUGAGAGGACAGGGUUCAGGAGCUUCCGGACAGCUGAGCAGGUGGAGGUUCCUGGAGGGUGGUGUGCCAGGGAGGGUGUGGAAGCUCUGCCCCUUCCCCCAUACCUUGUCCUAUGCAUUCCUUUAUCUGCAUCCUUCAUUUUAUUUUAUUUUUUUUUGAGACGGAGUCUUGCUCUUGUCGUCCAGGCUGGAAUGCAGUGGUGCGCGAUCUUGGCGCACUGCAACCUCCGCCUCCCGAGUUCAAGAGAUUCUCUUGCCUGAGCCUCCCGAGUAGCUGGGAUUACAGGCACCCGCCACCAUCCCUGGCUAAUUUUUGUAUUUUUAGUAGAGAUGGGGUUUCACCAUGUUGGCCAGGUUAGUCUUGAACUCCUGACCUCAGGUGAUCCACCCACCUCAGCCUCCCAAAGUGCUGAGAUUACAGGCGUGAGCCACAGUGCCCGGCCUGUAUCCUUUAUAAUAUCUUUUAUAAACAACCAAUCAGUAAAUGUGUUACUCUGACUUCUGUGAGCUGCUCUAGCAAAUUAAUCAAAUCCACAGAAGGGUCAUGGGAACCCCAACUUGAAGCCUGUCCGUCAGAAGUUCCAGAGUCCUGGACUUGUGACUGGUGUCUGAAGUGGGCAAGUCUUGGGGACUGAGCCCCUAGCCUGUGGGAUCUGAUGCUAUCUCCACAUAGAUAGCAAUGGAAUUGAAUUGGCGGGCACCUGGCUGGUGUCUGCUGCAGAGCUCAUUGUUUGCUUAGUGGUGGAGAGAAGUCUCCCUCCACAUGUGGUCACAGCAUCUUCUGUCUGUGUUGAUUGCUUUUGAUGUUGAUCGAGAGAACAGGAAAAAGCACAUUGAAUGUCUCAAUGAUGAAGAUGACAAUAAUCUGGCUUCUAGGUUGUUAUGCGGCAGGCAACAGCUGUGCAGAUCCUAAUAAUCUACUCUGGGUGACAGUUUAACACAGGGGUUGGCAAAUGUGGCCCACUUCCUAUUUUUAUAAAUAAAGUUUUAUUGAAACAUG
rnacentral:lncRNA from 1 species